GCCCCAGUGGCAUAAUGGAUAACUCCUGUCCUCCUAAGCCAGGAGUUGGGGUUCAAAUCCCAUCUGGGGUU